CGCUGUCCGUCCAUCCACAUUUGGUUUGUAAACACUCUAGCAUUCACAUUUCUCAAGCAUUCUUUAUCCAAGUUGCUGAAAGAUCUCAGUCAAGUUUGAUGAUGAGCAAAAUCACAUAAUUAAUGCCAUAAUUAUUGCCCUUAGAUUGUCCAAAUUUUCAUUAUAUGAUACAAAAUCCUUGUAAGCAAAGUUUGAUGUUUGGUAAGGGGGGUCAACUCAAAAUAUAGGUCACCAUUUCAAAUCUUACAAAAACAAAAACACUCUCUACGCCAGAGUUUUGAUUCAAUAAUGAUGAAACUUGACCAGGAUGUUUGUCUGGUCAAUAUCUAGGUCAAGUUUGACGUUUGUUAGAUGAAAUGAACCGACACCUCUCAGGUGAGAGAACUAGGGCCAUAUUGGCCCUCUUGUAUAAGCUUAGAGCUUUAUCUCCAUUAACACAUGAGCCAGAGCCAUGAAACUUGCCAUAGUUGUUCUCAAUCAUCUGGGGUUGCUUCACAUUCAACACCCAUAAUCCUAGGGGCUAAGGUCAAGGUCACACAUUGAGGGCAAAGGGCGUUGUCCAUCUGUCAAGAAAACUUUUGUGUCCAGAAGCAUAUUGGCGGGGGAUAUCAAUUCAACGAAUUUGCUUGUUUUACUAUUUUAUUACUUUUUGUGUCGCGUAAUUUUGUUAUAUCAUCCUUAAAAAAAGAUGUUUGCCUUUUGUUUGUUCUUUCAAGAUAGUAAAUCGUGUUUCUAAACGUUGAAUGGAGACUUGUUUACUGCCUCUUCAUAAGUUUCAGUAUUUGAAACAUACAAGAAAUGUUCAAUUAACUAUUCAAAAUAUGUCAUGCUUAUAUUUGGUCCGUCGUCAAUGUUACUGUUAACGUGGAAGAGCUUGUAUGGAAUAAAUGUGUUUUAAACCA